GACGAACGCUGGCGGCGUGCUUAACACAUGCAAGUCGAACGGAAAGGCCCUGCUUUUGUGGGGUGCUCGAGUGGCGAACGGGCGAGUAACACGUGAGUAACCUGCCCUUGACUUUGGGAUAACUUCAGGAAACUGGGGCUAAUACCGGAUAGGAGCUCCUGCUGCAUGGUGGGGGCUGGAAAGUUUCGGCGGUUGGGGAUGGACUCGCGGCUUAUCAGCUUGUUGGUGGGGUAGUGGCUUACCAAGGCUUUGACGGGUAGCCGGCCUGAGAGGGUGACCGGCCACAUUGGGACUGAGAUACGGCCCAGACUCCUACGGGAGGCAGCAGUGGGGAAUAUUGCACAAUGGGCGGAAGCCUGAUGCAGCAACGCCGCGUGCGGGAUGACGGCCUUCGGGUUGUAAACCGCUUUCGCCUGUGACGAAGCGUGAGUGACGGUAAUGGGUAAAGAAGCACCGGCUAACUACGUG
rnacentral:rRNA from 1 species